rnacentral:misc_RNA from 1 species
AACCCUUGUGGAGGAGGACGCCGAAGGUGGGGCUAAUGACUGGGGUGAAGUCGUAACAAGGUAGCCGUACCGGAAGGUGCGGCUGGAUCACCUCCUAACAGGGAGACAACAACUGAUCGUGAUGUCUGAGUGAUUUAUUCUUAGACCAUGAUCCUGUCACCUUAGGUCGAUCGGUACCUCAGAUUUAUUGUUUAAUAAGGAUUAGAGAUUAAUUGGUCAAGCUACAAAGGGCUCACGGUGGAUACCUUGGCACACAGAGGCGAUGAGGUCAUAGCCUGUUUCC